GGUGCUCUGAAGGCAGGGCUGUGCAUCCCUUUCCUCGGGGAAAAGAACUCCCCGGGGCCGCUCCCGAGGCUCCCAAGGGACAGCGGCUUCCCGGCCGGACAGACGUCCUCGCCCGUGCUCAGGGGCUGCCUCGCCCCGGGCCGGGAGCGCGUCCGGCCCCCGCCUUCUCCUGGGCCAACACAUCCCCUGGAGCCCGGCCCGGGGCGGAAAACCGGCCCAAUUCCAGGGAACUCGCUCAAGUCCCCCCAGGGACACCAGCGGGGCUGGGGGAGGAGGGUUAUAAACAGCAAAGUCUGUGGAAAAUGAACCUGUCCUUGUCCCGAUCCCGCUGAGCAAACCUGGAACCGUGGCUGCUUCCUGGCAAACCUGGCGUUAGAGCGGCAGCUCUGCGGGGGAACAGCCGGGCUCCAGGAGGCACUGGGAGGCUGUUGCAGCAGGAAUUCGGCAUGGAAUUGCGGGCUGUGAAUUGUGCACAAGCCAGUCCCCCAUUCCCUAUCCAGGCUGGGAGGGCUCGUGCCCUUGGCACAGAUGGCUCUGGCUGGGCAGGAACUGAGAGCAGGACACGGGGCAGAGUGGAUCAGCUGCCCAGGGAACCUCUAGGAGAUGAAGCUACGGGAUCCUCAUUCCAAUCAAGGGAACACAUUCUGUCUCUGGCAGGAGCCGGGAGCCAAAGCAGAUCCCGCCUGGCCAGGCUGGGGGGCAGCAGUUGGAUCCACUCUGGGGGAAAGCCCCUGUGCCUGCCAGGAGCUCUGACUCUGUUUGUCCUGCCAGCUCCUGACCAGUGUCAGGGCCCCUGGGAGGGAUUCAGAAUCCAAAGAAACCCCAAAUCCUACCGCAGGAUUCAAUCAAAGGAAGAAAGCCAUUAUUGUCAUAAAAAGCUUAAAAAGCUGUUAAAAAUUCUAGGACAGCAAUACUGGGAUUCCCAGGAAACUUA